rnacentral:rRNA from 1 species
UACGAAGGAGGCUAGCGUUGUUCGGAAUUACUGGGCGUAAAGCGCGCGCGGGCGGUUAAGCAAGUCAGGGGUGAAAGCCCGGGGCUCAACCUCGGAACGGCCUUUGAGACUGCUUGACUUGAGACCGGAAGAGGAGAGUGGAAUUCCCAGUGUAGAGGUGAAAUUCGUAGAUAUUGGGAAGAACACCAGUGGCGAAGGCGGCUCUCUGGUCCGGUACUGACGCUGAGGCGCGAAAGCGAGGGGAGCAAACAGG